rnacentral:rRNA from 1 species
CCUACGGGUGGCAGCAGUGGGGAAUAUUGCGCAAUGGGCGAAAGCCUGACGCAGCGACGCCGCGUGAGGGAUGAAGGUCUUCGGAUCGUAAACCUCUGUCAGCAGGGAAGAACGGUCACUGUGCUAAUCAGCAGUGAAUUGACGGUACCUGCAAAGGCAGCACCGGCUAACUCCGUGCCAGCAGCCGCGGUAAUACGGAGGGUGCGAGCGUUAAUCGGAGUUACUGGGCGUAAAGGGCGCGUAGGCGGUAUGUAAAGUCAAGGGUGAAAGCCCCGGGCUCAACGGGGGAACUGCCUUUGAAACUGGCAAACUGGAGUGUGGGAGAGGAGAGUGGAAUUCCAGGUGGAGGAGUGAAAUCCGUAGAUAUCAGGAGGAACAUCAGUGGCGAAGGCGACUAUCUGGCACAUAACUGACGCUGAGGAGCGAAAGCGUGGGUAGCAAACAGGAUUAGAUACCCCAGUAGUC